rnacentral:rRNA from 1 species
GAUGAACGCUGGCGGCGUGCCUAAUACAUGCAAGUCGAGCGAACAGACGAGGAGCUUGCUCCUCUGACGUUAGCGGCGGACGGGUGAGUAACCCGUGGAUAACCUACCUAUAAGACUGGGAUAACUUCGGGAAACCGGAGCUAAUACCGGAUAAUAUAUUGAACCGCAUGGUUCAAUAGUGAAAGACGGUUUUGCUGUCACUUAUAGAUGGAUCCGCGCCGCAUUAGCUAGUUGGUAAGGUAACGGCUUACCAAGGCAACGAUGCGUAGCCGACCUGAGAGGGUGAUCGGCCACACUGGAACUGAGACACGGUCCAGACUCCUACGGGAGGCAGCAGUAGGGAAUCUUCCGCAAUGGGCGAAAGCUUGACGGAGCAACGCCGCGUGAGUGAUGAAGGUCUUCGGAUCGUAAAACUCUGUUAGUAGGGAAGAACAAAUGUGUAAGUAACUAUGCACGUCUUGACGGUACCUAAUCAGAAAGCCACGGCUAACUACGUG